rnacentral:rRNA from 1 species
UACGUAGGCAGCGAGCGUUGUUCGGAGUUACUGGGCGUAAAGCGUGCGUAGGCGGUUUUGUAAGUUUGGUGUGAAAUCUCCCGGCUCAACUGGGAGGGUGCGCCGAAAACUGCAAGGCUGGAGUAUGGGAGAGGUAGGCGGAAUUCCUCGUGUAGCGGUGAAAUGCGUAGAUAUCAGGAGGAACACCUGUGGUGUAGACGGCUUACUGGACCAUGACUGACGCUGAGGCACGAAAGCGUGGGGAGCAAACAGG